rnacentral:rRNA from 1 species
CCUACGGGUGGCAGCAGUGAGGAAUAUUGGUCAAUGGGCGCGAGCCUGAACCAGCCAAGUCGCGUGAGGGAAGACGGUCCUAUGGAUUGUAAACCUCUUUUGUCGGGGAGCAAAAGACGCCACGCGUGGCGUUCCGAGAGUACCCGAAGAAAACGCCUCGGCUAACUCCGUGCCAGCAGCCGAGGUAAUACUGAGGAUGCGAGCGUUAUCCGGAUUUAUUGGGUUUAAAGGGUGCGCAGGCGGAAGAUCAAGUCAGCGGUAAAAUUGAGAGGCUCAACCUCUUCGAGCCGUUGAAACUGGUGUUCUUGAGUGAGUGAGAAGUAUGCGGAAUGCGUGGUGUAGAGGUGAAAUGCAUAGAUAUCACGCAGAACUCAGAUUGCGAAGGCAGCAUACCGGCGCUCAACUGACGCUCAUGCACGAAAGUGUGGGUAUCGAACAGGAGUAGAGACCCUGGUAGUC